CAAGUAUACAAUGAUUAAUCGAAACCAUAUAAACUUUGGAGACGAAUUUAUCGUAUGUUCUCAUGCUAUCGCUGUCCUUCAGACUAGAUUGGUCUUGAAGUGUAGUGGAAUACGACCAU
rnacentral:sRNA from 1 species